GUAGUGCUAAGUAUCUGAAUCCCUUUGAUGGAUCCCUUCGGGGUGAAGCGUUGGGCCUAGCGUACGACCCCGUGCUGGUGCGUUUAGCGUAUUAACAGGUGUGACGCAGGAAGGUAGCCGAGCCGGGCGAUGGUUGUCCCGGUCUAAGGAUGUAGGGCGAACGAUAGGCAAAUCCGUCGUUCAUAUAGCCUGAGAUCUGAUGGGUAGACGCAAGUCGAAAUCGGUGAUCCUAUGCUGCCAAGAAAAGCAUCGACGCGAGGUUCUAGCUGCCCGUACCCCAAACCGACUCAGGUGGUCAGGUAGAGAAUACUAAGGAGAUCGAGAGAAUCGUGGUUAAGGAACUCGGCAAAAUGCCCCCGUAACUUCGGGAGAAGGGGGGCCUGAGGCGUGAACGGACUUGCUCCGGGAGCGUUCGAUGGCCGCAGAGACCAGUGGGAAGCGACUGUUUACUAAAAACACAGGUCCGUGCUAAGUCGCAAGACGAUGUAUACGGACUGACGCCUGCCCGGUGCUGGAAGGUUAAGAGGAACGGUUAGCCGCAAGGCGAAGCUGAGAAUUUAAGCCCCAGUAAACGGCGGUGGUAACUAUAACCAUCCUAAGGUAGCGAAAUUCCUUGUCGGGUAAGUUCCGACCUGCACGAAUGGCGUAACGACUUCCCAGCUGUCUCAACCGCGAACUCGGCGAAAUUGCAUUACGAGUAAAGAUGCUCGUUACGCGCAGCAGGACGGAAAGACCCCGUGACCUUUACUAUAGUUUGGUAUUGGUGUUCGGUGUGGCUUGUGUAGGAUAGGUGGGAGACUGUGAAGCGGGCACGCUAGUGUUCGUGGAGUCAUUGUUGAAAUACCACUCUGGUCACUCUGGAUAUCUAACUUCGGACCCUAAUCGGGUUCAGGGACAGUGCCUGAUGGGUAGUUUAACUGGGGCGGUUGCCUCCUAAAGAGUAACGGAGGCGCCCAAAGGUUCCCUCAACCUGGUUGGCAAUCAGGUGUCGAGUGUAAGUGCACAAGGGAGCUUGACUGUGAGACUGACAAGUCGAGCAGGGACGAAAGUCGGGACUAGUGAUCCGGCAGUGGCUUGUGGAAGCGCUGUCGCUCAACGGAUAAAAGGUACCUCGGGGAUAACAGGCUGAUCUUGCCCAAGAGUCCAUAUCGACGGCAUGGUUUGGCACCUCGAUGUCGGCUCGUCGCAUCCUGGGGCUGGAGUAGGUCCCAAGGGUUGGGCUGUUCGCCCAUUAAAGCGGUACGCGAGCUGGGUUUAGAACGUCGUGAGACAGUUCGGUCCCUAUCCGCUGCGCGCGCAGGAAAUUUGAGAAGAUCUAUCCCUAGUACGAGAGGACCGGGAUGGACGAACCUCUGGUGUGUCAGUUGUUCCGCCAGGAGCACCGCUGAUUAGCUACGUUCGGAACGGAUAACCGCUGAAAGCAUCUAAGCGGGAAGCCGGCUUCGAGAUGAGAUUUCCAUCCCUUCGGGGGAGAGGCUCCCAGCCAGACGACUGGGUUGAUAGGCCGGAUGUGGAAGACAGGACUAAAGACUGUCGGAGCUGACCGGUACUAAUAAGCCGAUAACUUGAUAAUCACUACACUCAUACCGUUGUAAAGGCUGGUAGGAGUGGUCAGAGAUUGCUUGCGUCCACUUUGUGGUUCCCAGAAUACGGGCUCCAUA
rnacentral:rRNA from 1 species